GAUGAUGGAUAGUAUCACAUUGCAGGUGAUGAUAUUUAUUAGUAUCAGCAUUCUAAAAGACUUCAAAAACAAUAUAUCACUGGGGACUUGGGGAAUUUUCUCUUGAAUUUCAAAUGUAAAAUAAUUUAUCCAUGUAAGCAUGUGAUAUAUUUUUGUAUUGUUUUGUUUCCAAUAAGUGUUCUAAAGAAGUGAGGGCUUUUUAAAAAAACUUUAAUUAAAGUAACUUAUUUCACGAGUAAUUCAUUUAAGGAACUUUAAUUUUUCUUUUCUCUGUGAUAUUAAAAUGGGGUUUUCACUUUUGUAUUUCAGGAGAAUUGCAAAAGGAAAUUGAUCAGAGAAGAGCCCAAUUUAGGAAUGACUGGCAGAACGCAUCAUUGUACUCUGG